UAUUGGUAAUAGCCCUUUCAAAUAAGCCAAUCAGAAUAGUCAAAGAACAACCCCCCUUGCUUCUGUGGCCCCUUUAAAAGUAGACUGUACCCGCUAUUCGAGGUCCCUCGGCUUCCCGAAUGCUGGGGGACCCUGUCAUGACAGAAUUAAUAAAAUCCUCAUGCUUUUGCAUCGGCUGUAGUGUGUGAGAUGGUCUCUGGGGGCGACUCCUUCUCGGUGUUUGGACGCCAGAGUCCAACAUUUGGUUCCCUGACCGGGAAUCAAAUCGCUCCCAGACACACUCUAGACCCAGUUGGAGGUAUAAAGAAACGAGCUCAUUUUUAUGUCUGUUUGUUUGUAUAUUGUGUUUCUGUUUCUGUGUAAUUGUAAAUUAGUAAUCUGAGAAUUGUACCUGCGCAGGGCUAGUAUUUGAAGGGGACCAGGCAGUGGGACAGACGUGUCCGGGAACACUCCCUGGCCCAGCCAUGGAGGACGCUUCACUGGCAAUUUGUGAAACUAGGAGCAACUAGGUCAUCUUAGUUUCUAGGGAGUGUGGCCCUUAUUGCCCACUCCCUUCCAGGUUCGUAUCAGUUUGUUGCCGCGCGGCUUCUGAUUUUGAGUUUAUGUCUGUCUUUUUGUUCUUGUGUAUUUUCAGUUCUACACCAGAGUGGUGGUGAGAGCACCAGCUUCUGGUUUUGAGUUUAUGUCUGUCUCUUUGUAUUUUUUGUUUUUGUAUGUCGGUUUGUCUUUGUUAAAAUCCACCUGCAGGAAUUCAGAACCUGGCACCGGCCCCCUGGCCAUCAUUAGUUUCCCUGAUUCCGAAAGCAGCCCCACUGCUGGAGGAGAUGGUGGCUGCCCCUCCCCAAGCCCUUUGUCUUCUCUCUUUCCUGUACAGGAGCAAAAGAAACCCAGAAUCCAGGCACCUCUGGUUCUUCCUGAUAUCCAGCCGAGCAUGACAGACUUCUCCCUCCUCCUCCCCUGGAGGAAGCACUUCGUUCCUGAGGAGCCCCGCUGGUCGGGCCCUAGCCCUGAAAACUUCGGUACUCAGCAUCCACACUGGGACAGGGGAAGGAUGAGAAUGACUUCCCAAACAUUUCCCCUUCACUCAGUAGCAGGCCAAUUGCAAUACUGCCUUUUUCUGCCUCUAAUCUUUACUUACAACCCUUCCUUUUCUUGGGACCCUCAGGCCGUGACCGGGCUUAUAGAAUCUGUUCUGGUUAUUCAUCAGCCCACUUGGGAUGAUUGCCAGCAGCUCUUGUAGGUGCUCCUAACUACAGAGAAAAAAAGAAUGUCCCAGGAGCUGACAGCAGGCCAACCCAAUCACCGGACAAGAAAGAGGAUGGGACUUCAAUACUCCAGCUGGACUGUAAAGAAAAGCAGGCUGCUCUCUGCCUUCGCCAUGCCCACCUUGCUGAGGAAGGCUUUGCAGCCACUGCCUGCUGAAUCCUCCCAGCUGCCUUGGUCACAGCCCAAGCCUGGGAACUCUGCUUACAGCCACCUGCCCCCGCAGGUAGCAACUGACUGAAGCGAGGAGGGGCCCGGGAGGUUCCGGAGCCCAAUUCCAAACAGCCUUCCCGAGCUGCUUGCAAGUUUCACAGAGAACAACUGCCCCCAGCUCCCAGACCGCAGCUGUGGAAAGCUUGGGGUUCAGCAAUGCCAAGGAGAGCCGGUUUUGAUGGCGCAUGCUGGUAAGAAGGCAGGGCAGCAAUGGUAAAUGAGCUGAGCAGCCUACUUAAAGGGACAUCACCUGGAUGGCAGAGAAGCUUUUUCUUACCAGGACUAAGAAGAUCAAAGAAGAAAUCUUCUCGAGGUUUGGCCUGCUCAAGGUAAUCGAGGUUGAUGGUAAAACUGCCUUGUUGCUCAAAAAAAGUCAGGGCAUAGGUAAGACUGAAAAAAAUUACAUUGUACAUACAGACCCCAGAGUUCAGGACAGGUAAAAAGGAUAAAUAAAAACCCUUACCAAAUUAGCCUUUGGAAUCUGGCACUAGAGACUGGGUACAGCUCCUUCCCCUAGCCCCGUUCUGUGUACGAAACACCCCGUCUCAGCUUGGACUAACCCCCUAUGAGAUCCAAUAUGGGGGACCCCCCUCUUAGUUUCCUAAGGCCCCUCAUGACCCAUUUGCUCACAAACCCCAUCUGCAGGCGCGGUUGAAGGCUCUCCAGAUCUCCGAGCCCAGGCAUAGAGACCCCUGGCCACCCUGACACCUGGAAAUCUCGCAUUCGUUCCAGAAUUGACGCCUGGGGUAUAUCCGGAGGGACAUGAGAAAAGCUGCAGCACCCCACAGCCAGAACAGCAGCUGCCCGCUCAUACCUGCAAUCCAUGCCUCCUCAAGCCCUUGCUUUGAUACCCCUGCCCUUACCCCUGAUUUCUGUCAACUAGUGGCAGAGCUAGCCUCCUGGGAUAUCCGAGAUACAUAUCCCCCACAGCUGCCCCUGGAGGCUGGCAAAAGAUUUUCCCCUGGAGGAAAUAUUUGGACACGGGGGUUCAGACAUCUCCCCCACUUGUCUCCCAGGGGCGAGAGGCGGGACUGUCUCCAUGGGUGUCGGGAAGGACUUGGGACAUAAAAUGGUAUUUAUCUGACCAGAGCCUGCUGCUGCAGGCCAGACUAGACCCUCCCUAAAGGGGCCCUAGCUAUCCCUGCUGCUGCCCGCUGGACUAAGCUACUCUCCCUGCUUCUCUGCUGGCACCUCCCAACACCAGCCCGGGCACCCGGAAAUCUCACACCUGUUCCAGCCUGGAUCCAUGCAUCUCACGUCAAGCCUACACCUCCACAGGACGACCCAGGACCAUCCAAAUGAAAGUUUCAGCGUACCCAAAAUCCUCUCGCCUCUUGGGAGGAUACUGAGCAAACCCCUGGAAACUUUUAUCCUGUAUGCAAAUAUUCUGAAUGAUAUGUUUGUCCAGGGGGGAAAAAUAAUAUGGGGGGAGCGGCUAAAGUUUAUUGUGCUGUCUGGGGAUGUAAAACCAAUGUCAAUGUCUCCUGGUUGAGGGUUAACAAAAAGGACUUAGUCUCUUUCACCCGUACCACACCAGAAAAAAAGUCUGAAAUCACAAUCACUUUUACUGAGAAAAAAAAAAUCUGACAGGCAA